CCCGCACAAGCGGUGGAGCAUGUGGUUUAAUUCGACGCAACGCGAAGAACCUUACCUGGGCUCGAAAUGUAGUGGAAUCCGGCAGAAACGUCGGCGUCUAGCAAUAGACCGCUAUAUAGGUGCUGCA
rnacentral:rRNA from 1 species